rnacentral:lncRNA from 10 species
AGGCACUGGUACAUUUAGUUCAUCAUAGAAAGUCUGAAAUACUGGCUCUGGAGAGCGUUUUUGAGUCUCUUCUUUUAUUAAAAUGUUUACCUUAGGGUCUAGUCCUUUUCCAUCAAUGCCUAGAGAUACGUUUUCUCCUUUUUUCCAUUUUGGGUCUGAGGGGUUUGUGAUUACUAAUUCUAAAGGAUUGCUGCUUCCAAUCAUGCAGGAGGGGCUUCCUUUCCCUUUUUGGAGCCAAACAGGAUCUGUUUCAUCUUUUUUUCCAAGUAGCCCAAAUGACACAAGAGCAGUACCCACAUUCUUUUCCACACAAUACUAAUUCAUGACAAAUGUAUUUAUUUUCAGUCAUGUAGCUAUUUUUCCUAAUUAAAAGAGCAAUAUCCUGCUCCUAACUUGUUGCUAUUAAUGACAGCACAAGGAUCAAAUUUUAAGAUUAUGCAUUUGGCACCCCUUUUUAUUCUGUUUUGGCUAAUACUUUACUUGUAUCAUUUAUGAGUCCCCACCAGUCUUCAGUCCUUAAUCUUAUUUCAAAAACUGUGGAAAUGGAACGUUCAGAGGGGUGAUAGCACACAUCAGGCUCAUCACUUCCUGGAUUACAGACUUUGUACUGAGUGUUACUAUACAAACACAUUCCUUUUGGAAUUUCUAGGCAUUCAUAAUAACUAUAGAACAAAAAGAUUGUCUUAACUUACUGUCCUACCUCAGUGACCUGAUGUAUGCACUGAAAGCAUUCCUCUGUGUGGGAAGAAGCAGUGGAAGCUUUUACCACACAAAUCCAUGUUAAAAGGAAAAUAAGUCCCAUGACAAUUUUCCUCAUGCUUUGGCCAUGCGUAGACCAGUCCGGUUCUGGGUGUGACUGGAGCAGGGCUUGUCGUCCCCCUCAGGGUUGCUUUGCAGGGGUUGUCUAGGCUUGGUUUGGCCUCCCAGGUUCCAGUGGCUGUGGGCUUUAUGCAGCUAUGGUGAAUCUAGUCUGGAAUUCCUUCUAUCUUCACAGCUGUGGGAGUGGUCUGGAUAAUGGUAUGGGGUCCCUUCCACCAUGGCCACAAAGGAGCUAUAUUCCAGUCCUUGAUCCACACAUGGUCACCUGGAGAAAAAGGGUGAACUGGGGAGAAUAAGCUGACUGGGCACUUCUCAUUUAUCCAUGUUAAGAUUGACAGGGUAAUUUUCCCUGAGACCUGUAGCUGUUGCUGCAAUUCAAUUUCACCCAACUCUUGCAGAGUACCUGGAAGUCCUCACAGUAUAGGAGAAGGCCUGUGAUAUAAUAUUUCAUAAGGGGAGUAUCCUAUUUUCAUAGAGGAGAUGCAACUAAUUUUAAACAAUACUAUAGGAAGGGACUGCAUCCAUUUUAAUCCUGUCUCUUGACAUACUUUCCCUAACCUAUUUUUAAUAGUCUGAUUAAUUCACUCCACCUUUCCGGAACUCUGAGGUCAGUAGGCAGCAUGUAACUUCCAAGUGAUUCCCAAUAUCUUUGCCGUCUCUGUACUACAUCAGCCUCAAAUGCCGGCCUAUUAUCUGAGCCGAUCCGUAGAGGCAGUCCAAACCUAGGGAUGAGGUCUCAAAGAAGCACACGGGUUACUACACAAGCUUUUUCAGUUCAUGUUGGAUAAGCCUCUACCCACCCAGAAUAAGUACACAUUAGAACCAGUAAAUACUUGUUACCUCCACAUUUGGGCAUCUUUGUGAAGUCCACUUGAAGAUCUUCAAAAGGAGCUGCUCUAUAGGCUUGUAUGCCAGGAGGAACAGAGGGGCCUUGCUUUGCAUUAUGCUGUCAUCAGGCCUGGGUAAAGUGAAAUGAUCACAGCUUACUGCAGCCUCAACAUCUUAGACUUAAGCAGUCCUCCCACCUCAGCCUCCUAAGUAGCUAGAACCACAGCUGUGCACCACCACACAAGCCAAGUUUUUUUGUUUUUGAACAAAAACUUGUUUAAAACCAAGUGUUGCCCAGGCUGGUCUUAAACACCAGGACUCAAGAAGAACAACUGUGAAAUUUAUACAUCACCUCUCAACAGAACAAGUGGAGCCAAGAAGAAAUUGGAAUGAAAGAAAGAAGAAAGUAAUUUUCAACCUAGAAUUCUGUACCCAUUUUAAAUACUCUUCAGAAAAAACAGUGAGAAAAGACAUUUCUAAAGAAAAAACUCAAGGAACUUAAUCAACUGUAGAUUUUCACUGAAAGUAAUAAUUCAGGCAGAAAGAAAACUCUCUUAGAGAAUAGUUUUUGAGAGGUGGAGGAAAAUUAUAGGAUAAAAAUAGUGGUGUGGUGUGUGCAUGUGUGUGUGUGUAAAAUUGAUACAUAAUUGUUACAUAUCAUAAUAUGUCAUUGAUAUAUAGCAAGCUAAAAU